GAAUAAUGUACCUUUACACACUGUGAACUGUGGCUCCGGCCCAAACUUGAAUGUAUAGAAUGUAAACAAUCAAAACAAAACAAAACUUUUAACAACGGAUCUCUUGGCUCU
rnacentral:misc_RNA from 1 species